AGUGGUUAAGUCUGUUUGGCUGUUAACCAAAAGAUUGGUAGUUCAAAUCCACCAGCCACUC
rnacentral:tRNA from 1 species